GGCCUAACACAUGCAGUCGAACGGGCUAGCAAUAGUCAGUGGCGCACGGGUGCGUAACACGUGGGUAAUCAACCCUUCAGCUCGGGAUAACGCCUUGAAAGGGGCGCUAAUACCGGAUACGACGCGAGGAUCUUCGGAGCUUCGCGGGAAAGAUUCGCAAGGAUCUCUGAAGGACGAGCCUGCGGCCCAUCAGCUAGUUGGUGAGGUAAGAGCUCACCAAGGCGAAGACGGGUAGCUGGUCUGAGAGGAUGAUCAGCCACACUGGAACUGAGACACGGUCCAGACUCCUACGGGAGGCAGCAGUGGGGAAUAUUGCGCAAUGGGCGAAAGCCUGACGCAGCCACGCCGCGUGAGCGAUGAAGGCCUUCGGGUCGUAAAGCUCUGUGGGGAGAGAAGAAUAAAGCCUGUGAAGAAUGGGCCUUGACGGUAUCUCCUUAGCAAGCACCGGCUAACUCCGUGCCAGCAGCCGCGGUAAUACGGAGGGUGCAAACGUUGCUCGGAAUCAUUGGGCGUAAAGCGCACGUAGGCGGCGAAGCAAGUCGGGUGUGAAAGCCCUGGGCUCAACCCAGGAAGUGCAUUCGAAACUAUUUCGCUUGAAUCUCGGAGGGGGUCAGAGAAUUCCCGGUGUAGAGGUGAAAUUCGUAGAUAUCGGGAGGAAUACCAGUGGCGAAGGCGCUGACCUGGACGAAGAUUGACGCUGAGGUGCGAAAGCGCGGGGAGCAAACAGGAUUAGAUACCCUGGUAGUCCGCGCUGUAAACGAUGAGUGCUAGACGGUGGAGGUAUUGACCCCUUUCGCUGCCGAAGCUAACGCGUUAAG
rnacentral:rRNA from 1 species